GCCUACGGCCAUGCCACCCUGAACAAGCCCAAUCCUGUCUGAUCUCAGAAGCUAAGCAGAGUGGGACCUGGUUAGUACUUGGAUGAGAGACCACCUAGGAAGACCAGGUGCUGUAGGCA
rnacentral:rRNA from 1 species